AAUAGAUACCCUGGUAGUCCACGCCGUAAACGAUGAGUGCUAAGUGUUGGGGGGUUUCCGCCCCUCAGUGCUGCAGCUAACGCAUUAAGCACUCCGCCUGGGGAGUACGGUCGCAAGACUGAAACUCAAAGGAAUUGACGGGGGCCCGCACAAGCGGUGGAGCAUGUGGUUUAAUUCGAAGCAACGCGAAGAACCUUACCAGGUCUUGACAUCCCGGUGACCACUAUGGAGACAUAGUUUCCCCUUCGGGGGCAACGGUGACAGGUGGUGCAUGGUUGUCGUCAGCUCGUGUCGUGAGAUGUUGGGUUAAGUCCCGCAACGAGCGCAACCCUUAUUCUUAGUUGCCAUCAUUCAGUUGGGCACUCUAAGGAGACUGCCGGUGAUAAACCGGAGGAAGGUGGGGAUGACGUCAAAGUCAUCAUGCCCCUUAUGACCUGGGCUACACACGUGCUACAAUGGACGGUACAAACGGUUGCCAACCCGCGAGGGGGAGCUAAUCCGAUAAAACCGUUCUCAGUUCGGAUUGUAGGCUGCAACUCGCCUAC
rnacentral:rRNA from 1 species